GGACGGAACUCUGGAGAGACCAUGAAUGGCACCGAAGGGGCAAGGCGGUUUAGAACCGCUCAAACUCUCAGGUAAAAGGACAGAGCGAAGAGG
rfam:Streptococcus sanguinis SK36, complete genome.